GGAGAUGAGGGUUAGGCCUGGAUUCUCCCCAUGGUGUAGGUAGAAAGGACUGGCUGGGUUGGUGGACUGAUCUUUGUCACCCAUGGUAGCAGAAAACUAGAAAGAGUUCAAGAAAACUGGGCAGUGGGUAUGAUUCCUGCUCUUGAUACCAUAAAGAGAAAUGGGCCAAACCAAAGAAAUCAGGCCCAACACCGUAUAAACCAAAAUACAAUGCCCCAACGGACACAACCCAAAGCACCUUUUCGCUGGAAGCUUCCUUCGUCAGAUGGUAGAUGGGUGACGUGACAAUUAGAUGAGAACGAGAGAGGAGAAAAGCUCGGGGUCUUCCAUGGGAGUUAUGCAGCAGAGGGAGGCGCGUUCUUCACUGAGCAGAGAAGCAAAUGGAGGGUGGAAGAGAAGAAGAAGAAAACGGAAAACAGAGGUAAACACUAAAAGAACUCGUCUUGCUUUUGAGAAAAUAAUUUCGUAUUGCUCUAUGCUGAAUGUGUUACAUUGUUUGAAGAAAAGAAAAGAAAAGGAACUCUAUUUAUAGAGUUCGAGACAGUAAAAAAAGGAAACACUAAGAAAAACCAACUACUAACAGAAAAGGGGUGUUAUUACAGUAUUUAGACAGUAAUCCGCUGAACAAUAACUUUCAAUACUUUUAAAUGAUAAUUAAGAAAAAAAAAUAGUUGUUUUGUUUGAGAAAAUAUAUUAUUUUUUUAUUUUAAUUAUAAAAACAGUACAUCAUUUCACAUUGUUUUC
rnacentral:lncRNA from 1 species